GUACUGAUGAAGAGUCCCAGAAUAAAACGAAAGAGAUGUCCAGUAC
rnacentral:hammerhead_ribozyme from 1 species